rnacentral:rRNA from 1 species
CAGUAGCCGCGGUAAAACGUAGGGUGCGAGCGUUAAUCGGAAUUACUGGGCGUAAAGCGUGCGCAGGCGGUUUUGUAAGACAGGCGCGAAAUCCCCGGGCUCAACCUGGGAAUGGCGCUUGUGACUGCAAAGCUAGAGUGCGGCAGAGGGGGAUGGAAUUCCGCGUGUAGCAGUGAAAUGCGUAGAUAUUCGGAGGGACACCGAUGGCGAAGGCAAUCCCCUGGGCCUGCACUGACGCUCAUGCACGAAAGCGUGGGGAGCAAACAGGAUUAGAUACCCCGGUAGUCCCUGUCUCUUAUAC